rnacentral:lncRNA from 10 species
CCCAACUCCUGGAAUUCCUGACACUGCUCACGAGGCCCCGGCCCCAAAUCUCAAGUUGCUGGGUGAGGGGGUUGUCCUAGCUAAGCCACUCUUGGUUGCAAGGGACUCAAACCUAACUAUCUCAAGCCAUCAGAGUCAGAAAAGAGGCUUUAUGAGCUUCAAGAAAGGAGAUGUCCGGAGCGGGUAGUGGUGUGGCUUUAGGUGUGGCUGGAUCCAGGUGCUUCGGUAUUCAGACCCAAGGCUCUCUCCAUCUCAGGGUCCUUGGAUCCCCCAGGGGCUGGCACUCAUGGGCAGGGUAGCCCGAGGGCUCCUGGCCGACGUCCCCACCAGCGCAGCAAGUAGAAUCAGAGGGAAGGGACUGCCCCUUCCUUCCUGCUGCAGUCACAGCGUGGUCCUCACUGGCCUAUCCCUGGAGCCCAGGGGCUUGG